UACGGAGGGGGUUAGCGUUGUUCGGAAUUACUGGGCGUAAAGCGUACGUAGGCGGAUUAGUAAGUUGGGGGUGAAAUCCCGGGGCUCAACCCCGGAACUGCCUCCAAAACUACUAGUCUUGAGAUCGUGAGAGGUGAGUGGAAUUCCGAGUGUAGAGGUGAAAUGCGUAGAGAUGCGGAGGAACAUCAGUGGCGAAGGCGGCUCACUGGCACGAUACUGACGCUGAGGUACGAAAGUGUGGGGAGCAAACAGG
rnacentral:rRNA from 1 species